AUUUUUCUAACAAAGUUUAGCAUAAUCAUUGACAACCUUAUGUUAAAGAAACUAACUUUUUGCCACACGAAACACAAAAGGCAUUUCGGAAAAGCAAUCACAUGAAGGCAGUAGAGUUGUGCACCAAACUAUAUGGGAUAACAUCGAUGUAACAAAAAAUGAAAGACUUCUAUGCAGUAAAUGAUGGACGAUGUAAGCAUAAUCAUAGCUAACUUUUCAGAAGAUGAGAACAAAGGCAUUAGAGGCAAGAGAAGCAUAUCAAGUGAAGUUAUGGAAGAAAAUCAAUUGGAUGCAGGGCAUAGUAUACCUAUGCACCAAACUAAAAGGGAUAACAUUCAUUUAACGAAAGCUGAAAGACUAUAUGUGCAGUAAAACUCGUACUCAAACGAUGGAUGAUUCUAACUUACUAAGCAUGUCUGGAAUCAGAACACUCAAUUCAAACACGACCCUCAACUCGAUUAAGUAAUCACUUGCAACCUUGUAUUCAUCACCAACUUUUCGACACACAGAAAAAGAAGGAAUUUGGGAAAAGGUUUUGCAUAUCAACUAUCAAGUGACAGAUAUGGAAGCACCGAACGAAGAAGGAUAGCAUUUGCUGUAAUGAAACCUGAAAGACUUCCUAGCAACAAUGCUUACCAAAGCAUAUUUCGGAUCAAAACACUUGAUUCACACACGAUUCUCAUCUCAAUUAGGUACACAUAGGACAAGUCUGAACAGAACGGCAGGUUAGUCGAAGUCCCAAAACAGACUGCAACUAUCACCAAAGUGCAACUUAUAGAAUUCAAGACUUUUGAGAUCAGAUAAACAAAGUGCAACAUACAACUAGCAUAUCUGAUAAGUUUUGAAAAUGACUGCAAGUUAGGUGAGUCACAAGUACAUUCAUCUGCCAUCAAACAAAGCAAAUUGCAAGUCAAGGAAUCCAAGACAUUUGAGAUCAUAAAACUUAGCAGCAACCACAUCCCCACAGCCAACAAAAGAGGCCUUUUUCUUCUUCUUUUCAAAAACCCUAAUCAACAAAAUCCACCAAAGAAAAACACACCACUUCCAUACCGCACUCAUCAAAGUCUCAAGCUUUCCCCCAAACCCAAAACAAUCAAGACUCCACAGUCCAAACCAGCUGACACUGACAAACAGAAUCUCAUCACAUAGAGCAAACAAGCCAAGCAAUUGAAAGGUGGAAGUAAAAGGGACGGAGAGAGAAAGAGAGAGAGAGAGGGAAAGAGAGAAUUAGGGAUUGUUUACCAGCUUCCUGCCCUGAAGAGUUCUGGGGAGAAUUAUCUUGUGGAAGUAAGGCCUUGACGGCAUAAUUUCUUUUUGGUGUUAUUUCGGCGACUUUAUUGGGUGGGUUGUAAUUAUAGUGAUGGAGAAGUGAAGAAAGAUAGCGAGAGGGGGAAAUGGGUCAAUCAGAUCAUGAUGAUAAGACCACCAGCCCCAAUCUGAAAGAGAAAGGCGACAGAAAGAAAGAAAAGAGAAAGAUAUUGAAAGUUUUUGUCUCAGAUCUACAGCAGCUGCUCCAUCACCAAUAACUACUCUUCUUCCUCCUCCUCUCUCACUUUACAGAGUUACAGUCAAAGAACAGUGCUUUGCUACUGCUACUGCUACUGCUUUAAAAACCUUAACAAACGUUAGCUUGACCUAAAAAAAAGUAGUUGAACGAGUUGAGUUUUGCUUUCCCUGGCCUGGUUUUUGGUUUUUCCAAGCGACUCAGUUGGCUGACUCGGAUAUCAGAAUCCCUUGCAUAAAUUUAUUGAUUAAUUGAUUGAUGUCUUCUUGUGUUAUUUUCUUCUUCUUGGUGGGGGGGGGUUGCUUUUUGUUUUUAUUUUUUAAUCAUUUUCUUGUGUUUAUCCUCGUGACUUGCACGUGCAAUCUGGUACAACAGCCGGGUCGGACUUUGGUUGGACGGUUGACUCAAAUGCUAUGACAAAAUUCUGCGGGCCUCGGAUGCUACUUCAAGUCCGGGUACACUCUCUAUUUACACUGAUUCUGUCGAAUUAACAGGUUGCUCAACUCUUUGAAUGUUGCCUCCUUCUCACUGUCAUUCUACAAAAGCUGAAAGCCUAUAUGCACAGUAAAACCGGUACUCAAACGAUGGAUGAUUCUAACUUACUAAGCAUGUCUGGAAUCAGAACACUCAAUUCAAACACGACCCUCAACUCGAUUAAGUAAUCACUUGCAACCUUGUAUUCAUCACCAACUUUUCGACACACAGAAAAAGAAGGAAUUUGGGAAAAGGUUUUGCAUAUCAACUAUCACCAAAGGCAUAAGAGGAAGAGAAGCAUUUCAAGUGAAGUUAUGGAAGAAAAGCAAUCGGAUGCAGGGCAAAGUAUACCUAUGCACCAAACUAAAAGAGAUAACAUUCAUUUAACGAAAGCUGAAAGACUAUAUGCACAGUAAAACCGGUACUCAAACGAUGGAUGAUUCUAACUUACUAAGCAUGUCUGGAAUCAGAACACUCAAUUCAAACACGACCCUCAACUCGAUUAAGUAAUCACUUGCAACCUUGUAUUCAUCACCAACUUUUCGACACACAGAAAAAGAAGGAAUUUGGGAAAAGGUUUUGCAUAUCAACUAUCACCAAAGGCAUAAGAGGAAGAGAAGCAUUUCAAGUGAAGUUAUGGAAGAAAAGCAAUCGGAUGCAGGGCAAAGUAUACCUAUGCACCAAACUAAAAGAGAUAACAUUCAUUUAACGAAAGCUGAAAGACUAUAUGCACAGUAAAACCGGUACUCAAACGAUGGAUGAUUCUAACUUACUAAGCAUGUCUGGAAUCAGAACACUCAAUUCAAACACGACCCUCAACUCGAUUAAGUAAUCACUUGCAACCUUGUAUUCAUCACCAACUUUUCGACACACAGAAAAAGAAGGAAUUUGGGAAAAGGUUUUGCAUAUCAACUAUCAAGUGACAGAUAUGGAAGCACCGAACGAAGAAGGAUAGCAUUUGCUGUAAUGAAACCUGAAAGACUUCCUAGCAACAAUGCUUACCAAAGCAUAUUUCGGAUCAAAACACUUGAUUCACACACGAUUCUCAUCUCAAUUAGGUACACAUAGGACAAGUCUGAACAGAACGGCAGGUUAGUCGAAGUCCCAAAACAGACUGCAACUAUCACCAAAGUGCAACUUAUAGAAUUCAAGACUUUUGAGAUCAGAUAAACAAAGUGCAACAUACAACUAGCAUAUCUGAUAAGUUUUGAAAAUGACUGCAAGUUAGGUGAGUCACAAGUACAUUCAUCUGCCAUCAAACAAAGCAAAUUGCAAGUCAAGGAAUCCAAGACAUUUGAGAUCAUAAAACUUAGCAGCAACCACAUCCCCACAGCCAACAAAAGAGGCCUUUUUCUUCUUCUUUUCAAAAACCCUAAUCAACAAAAUCCACCAAAGAAAAACACACCACUUCCAUACCGCACUCAUCAAAGUCUCAAGCUUUCCCCCAAACCCAAAACAAUCAAGACUCCACAGUCCAAACCAGCUGACACUGACAAACAGAAUCUCAUCACAUAGAGCAAACAAGCCAAGCAAUUGAAAGGUGGAAGUAAAAGGGACGGAGAGAGAAAGAGAGAGAGAGAGGGAAAGAGAGAAUUAGGGAUUGUUUACCAGCUUCCUGCCCUGAAGAGUUCUGGGGAGAAUUAUCUUGUGGAAGUAAGGCCUUGACGGCAUAAUUUCUUUUUGGUGUUAUUUCGGCGACUUUAUUGGGUGGGUUGUAAUUAUAGUGAUGGAGAAGUGAAGAAAGAUAGCGAGAGGGGGAAAUGGGUCAAUCAGAUCAUGAUGAUAAGACCACCAGCCCCAAUCUGAAAGAGAAAGGCGACAGAAAGAAAGAAAAGAGAAAGAUAUUGAAAGUUUUUGUCUCAGAUCUACAGCAGCUGCUCCAUCACCAAUAACUACUCUUCUUCCUCCUCCUCUCUCACUUUACAGAGUUACAGUCAAAGAACAGUGCUUUGCUACUGCUACUGCUACUGCUUUAAAAACCUUAACAAACGUUAGCUUGACCUAAAAAAAAGUAGUUGAACGAGUUGAGUUUUGCUUUCCCUGGCCUGGUUUUUGGUUUUUCCAAGCGACUCAGUU
rnacentral:lncRNA from 1 species